UACAGAGGGUGCAAGCGUUGUCCGGAAUCACUGGGCGUAAAGGGCGCGUAGGCGGCCUUGUAAGUCCUGUGUGAAAUCCCCCGGCUCAACUGGGGAACUGCACAGGAGACUGCUUGGCUUGAGUUCGGGAGAGGGAAGCGGAAUUCCGGGUGUAGCGGUGAAAUGCGUAGAGAUGUGGAGGAACACCAGUGGCGAAGGCGGCUUUUUGGUCUGUAACUGACGCUGAGGCGCGAAAGCGUGGGGAGCAAACAGG
rnacentral:rRNA from 1 species